rnacentral:rRNA from 1 species
CAAUAGCGUAUAUUAAAGUUGUUGCAGUUAAAAAGCUCGUAGUUGGAUUUCGGGGUGGCCUGGCUGGUCCGCCGCAAGGUGAGUACUGGUCAGCCGCCCUUCCUCUCGAAAGCCCCGACUGCUCUUUACUGCAGUGGUCGGGUAGUUCGGGACGUUUACUUUGAAAAAAUUAGAGUGUUCAAGGCAGGCUACCGCCUGAAUACAUUAGCAUGGAAUAAUGGAAGAGGACCUCGGUCCUAUUUUGUUGGUUUCUAGGGCCGAAGUAAUGAUUAAGAGGGACAGUUGGGGGCAUUCGUAUUUAAUUGUCAGAGGUGAAAUUCUUGGAUUUAUGAAAGACGAACUAGUGCGAAAGCAUUUGCCAAGGAUGUUUUCAUUAA